rnacentral:rRNA from 1 species
AUUGAACGCUGGCGGCAUGCUUUACACAUGCAAGUCGAACGGUAACAGGGUGCUUGCACCGCUGACGAGUGGCGAACGGGUGAGUAAUGCGUCGGAACGUGCCGAGUAGUGGGGGAUAACGCAGCGAAAGUUGUGCUAAUACCGCAUACGUACUGAGGUAGAAAGUGGGGGACCUUCGGGCCUCACGCUAUUCGAGCGGCCGACGUCUGAUUAGCUAGUAGGUGAGGUAAAGGCUCACCUAGGCGACGAUCAGUAGCGGGUCUGAGAGGAUGAGCCGCCACACGGGGACUGAGACACGGCCCAGAGUCCUACGGGAGGCAGCAGGGGGGAAUUUUGGACAAUGGGCGAAAGCCUGAUCCAGCCAUGCCGCGUGUCUGAAGAAGGCCUUCGGGUUGUAAAGGACUUUUGUCGGGGAGGAAAUCCCCAGCGUUAAUACCGCUGGGGGAUGACAGUACCUGAAGAAUAAGCACCGGCUAACUACGUGCCAGCAGCCGCCGUAACAC